GUGGGGAAUUUUGGACAAUGGGCGAAAGCCUGAUCCAGCAAUGCCGCGUGUGUGAAGAAGGCCUUCGGGUUGUAAAGCACUUUUGGCAGGGAAGAAACAGUGCGUGCUAAUACCAUGCGCGAAUGACGGUACCUGCAGAAUAAGCACCGGCUAACUACGUGCCAGCAGCCGCGGUAAUACGUAGGGUGCAAGCGUUAAUCGGAAUUACUGGGCGUAAAGCGUGCGCAGGCGGCUUUGUAAGACGGAUGUGAAAGCCCCGGGCUCAACCUGGGAAGUGCAUUCGUGACUGCAAGGCUAGAGUGUGUCCGAGGGAGGUGGAAUUCCGCGUGUAGCAGUGAAAUGCGUAGAGAUGCGGAGGAACACCGAUGGCGAAGGCAGCCUCCUGGGAUAACACUGACGCUCAGGCACGAAAGCGUGGGGAGCAAACAGGAUUAGAAACCCUUGUAGUCC
rnacentral:rRNA from 1 species